AUUCAACCUUAAUAUAUUACUAUUUUCUCUCUCUAAAUAGAAGACCAAAACUCCAUCAAAGUCUUUCCAAGUAUCACCAAAAAUUAGGGAUUUACGAACCUUAGCUAAGAUUUGUUCAAAAACCAGCAUAUUCAGUCGUCUGAUCCCCAAAGUCUAGACGACAGAAGCUCAGUUUGUCUUAACCAAAAAUUCUGGGUGUGAAACAAUCGCGAAUUUGAAAGAACAGAAGUUACAAAAACUUAUCAAAUUCCUUAAAUCAAGCGAUUUAACUUCAUCAGGUACGUUUCCUAAGAAGUCUUAUUUACUUAGUUUAUCCUAUAAAGAAGGUUAUUAUUCACAAUAGUUGAAAUCCCCAAAUAUUUAAAACCCUAGAUUUUAAAAUUUUCAGAUUUACAUUUCCUUGAGCCAUGGUGCGAAUCAAGCAUGCUUCAAAUGACCCUAGGGGUGAUGAACCCGCUCUUGAUGAACCCAACUUGGUUCCAAGGCCACGAUAUUUCAAAACUUUAGAGAUUCCAAAAUGGUGGGUUCCGAAGUUCAAAGAACGGCAUAUCAUAACGGGGCACGAUUUCGAGAGAAAUUUUCCUCUCAAAUACUAUCAAAGAAUGUUUGCUCCGAUGAAUGCUCUUGGGUGGAAUGGCUUCUGAUCUCUUCCAAAGAAUGUCUACUCGAAACUAGUAAGACUAUUUUAUUGCAAUUUGGAAGUAGGGACCCUAGAUAAUAUAGAGUAUUCGAUUGACUCUAAAGUUAGAGGGAAAACCAUAGUCUUGACUCCCACAAUCCUUUCUGAAAUUACCAGCAUUGCAAACGAGGGAGAAUUUGUGUUCAUAAGUAAACCAUCCCAACUCAAGAGAUAUGUGAACGAGAAAACUAUUUACGAUGUGAUUGCUGGAGAGAAUGUAGUCAAGGUCACUGACACGAUUCACUUGAAAAAGGAAUUUAGGCUCUUUCAUAGAUAUAUAGCACACAAUAUCAUCCCCAAAGCCGGACACUUUAACCAAGUAACCACCAUGGAUGCGUUUAUCAUCUAUAAAGUCGCAAUAGAUGAGCCACUGAACUUGAAUUACAUAAUUCUUAAAGAAAUGGCUGACGUUAGAAAUCACAACACUCGGGCCUUUCCUUACGGUGCUUUUCUCACCAAAGUUUUUAAUCAUUUCAAUGUCAAUCUAAAAGAUAUAAGGAUUCAAGAGAUGAGCAAAGGGUUUUCUAUGAACACUAUUAAGCAAGGCAUAUACUUCGACUCCAAUAGAGAAGAAAGGGAGGAAGAAAGAAUUUACAUGGACAUUGAGGAAAAUCUUGCUAUAGUUCAGAUUAAGGGAGAGACGAAUGCGGGGUAGGAACUGACCCCAUCAAUUUAGAGCAAGAAAAAAAUGUGGGUAUGCAGUGGACACAGUAGAUGAAGAAAUUAAUAGGGGGUCAAUAUGGGAACAACAUAUCCUACACAUAGGGCAUAUACUACACAUGGAGCAUAUCCGACUCAAGAGGGACCUUCACAUCAAGGGCCACCGGAUUGGUUCCUUGAAUACUUUGGGAGAUUAGAUAAAUCCUUGGGAGAAAUUAGGCACAAACAAGCUGAAAUCAUUCAAAAUCAAUAAUGUCAAGACGAAUGCAUGGGUUGUCUUGAAAGUGCCUACUAUAGGAUACGACACGACGUGGAUAGGAUUAUGAAUUUGUAUGUAGAGCAAGGUUCAAGAGUUGAUCAGAUUGGAAAUCGGUGUGAAUCCAUACAAGAAGAACAAUCACAACAAUUUUCUAACAUUCAAGAUUAGUUGGCAGGCAUAUGGAACACUAUCGACUCUCAUCCACUAUACCCGCCUCCUCUAUUGUAUGAUCCUUUCAUUCCUCCUCCUCCAUUUCCAACUUAUGCAUCGGGUGAAGCAUCUUUUUGUCCUCUUAUCUAUCAAGAUCCCCUUUUUUGAUGAUGCCCAAAGGGGGAGAAGCAUUAGGUUGUUUUGAGGUUUUGGAUUUUUAUGUAUUUUGGUAUUUUUGGAUAAUUAUGUUUGGAUGUUUAUGUUUUGGAUAAUUAUGGUGUUGAUUAGCUUUGUUAUAUGUCAAUUGUUUUUAGAUGAAGAUGCUUGAUGCUAUAAAUACAUGCAAAUAUGAUGGGCUGGUUAUAGAUGCAUAAGAUUUAUGACUAAACAUCCAAUAUGAUCAGUAUACACAUAACGUUGGGGGGAGCCCUCAAUUAUUUCAAAACGGUAUGUCUUGAACUAGGGGAAAGUUCAAAUUUAAUUUCUAAAAGUUAUUUUUAAAAACAAAACAAAUUGUGUCAUAAUCAAAAAAGGGAGAUUGUUUGAAAUAAAAAUUUGUUAUCUUUGAUGAGUACAUCUAAUACUAAAAAUCUUCAAAAACAUAAAGUUAGUUCUUCAAAUAAAUUCAUUAACAAAGUUUUGAAAUGACUUACCAAUCAUGAGAAAUGUUACUAAAACUAUAAUAACAACUUAAAAGAUGAACCAGUGAACUAUCAAAAUAUGAGAAGAACAAACAAGCUCACUGGAAACUAGUAUAAAUUCGACGACACCCCCCUGUAGAAGGCACGUGUGCCACAACCAAAAAUUUGAAGAAGUGCAACCGACGUUCAGGCAUCCGAGUACUAGACAAAAGUUUCAACGCUUGAAUUGAAAAUUAGAGCAAACAAAAGUAGGUAGGUUGCAUGAACUUUGGAAGCAAAAAAUAGGAUGAAAGUUGACCGAAGUUGAAGUUAAUCGAGAGAAAGUAAGCAACCAAAUUUGGGAAUCAAAAUAGGGCAGUUAGCUUAGUCACUAGAAUAAUAGUGCAUACUCGACCAAAGUUAAGUUCGGUCGCGUGAAGUCAGUGAUCGAAGUUUUUGAAAUUCAAACUGCACGUCAAAGUCACAGAUCCAACGGCCCAGAUCAAAUCAGAACGGCUAGAAUAGUGCAUUUAAUGCUGCAAUGUCACUAUUCCUACUGGGGAUUUUAAAAACAACUCAAGGGGUUGUUGUAGAGGCAUUGAAGUGAUCCAAAUUUAUCGGCUUGACUAGCUGACUAGGGUUCAGUAAAAUGGCUAUAACUUCUUUGUUAUUUGGAAUUUUUGCACACCGUUUAUUGCGUUGAAAACUAGACUUUUGGGGCUACAAUUUAGGAUCAAGAAUUUAUUUAUUUGGACUUUUUUAGUUGGAUAUAAUACCAUUUUAAAUUGACCUAACUUGACUACAUAAUUAUAUAAACUUUAUUUUGACAGUGGCUUAUUCUUUUGGUCAUAACUUCUUCAAUACUUUGAGUUUGGUCAUGAUUUAAGUUCCAUUGGAAAGAUAACUUCCGGGGCUUGAUAUAGACUCAAAAUUUUUGGUAUUUGGAUUUUUUAAGGCAUAGAUAAUUCAAUUUGAAAUCGGCUCUGUUUCUUACAAAUUUUCCUUCAACCUAUUUCUUAGUCAUUCCUUAAUCAAUAAACUUGUUGUCACGCCUCGCAACCCGGCCUAUGUGAAUCGUGGGCCUGUGAUUACCAGUGGCUGGCCCGCCAAGGCCUACUGAUCUUUAACCUGUGCAUAUUCAUUUAAAAUGCUAUAAUAUUUUUUUUGCAAAAACGCCAUAACUGAAAAUAAUAAAGUAUCACGUCCAUACCGUACACAGAGCUGUGCCUAAGUUCAACUAUUUACAUACUUACCAGAGCCAAUAUAAUUACAUAACAGGUAAUCUAAUCUGUCUACAAAACAUCAUAAGGCUCUUAGGCCACAACUACAUCUGCUUGACUUCUUCGUUCUAUGGCUCUUCUGAUUGGCUUUCUGAAAAUAGUUUUCUAAAAUCAUAAGCUGAAAGUUUAGUGAAUACCAUCAUAUGCAUGAACAUAAAUAAUAUCGGUGAUCAUUUGCAUAUCUACAUAACAUUAUGAAACUGUGAGCAUAUCAUGGUGUCUGUCUGAAUCUGAACUUUCAUAAACUGGUGGCUCACAUAGCUUGUUUGAAACUGUGAUUUCUAAACAUAGAUGUCAAUAACUAAAAAUGUAACAACUCGGCUAAACUGGACGCCGAAUGUCAGGUGGCUCUUUAGGCCAGGAUCCUCUAUCAUACCGGAUGGUCUUUUCACUCCCCAUCCAUUUGAGGAUUUCCUGGCUUUAUGUCCCGCCAUAGAGGACCCGAGUGUCAACUAGGUCAUACAUACUUGAACAUACUUUUCUUUUCAUUGAAAUCAUGUAUCCCAUGGAUGUCAGUACAUAAUAAACAUAUUUCUAUACAUUUAAAAGGCAUGAUAUUCCAUAUCUAUCAAUCGUUUGAAUGCACUGAAAGUAUGGAAAAAUUAUGUUGUAUAUACAUAGUAUGCUCCGAAACGUUUAGAACAUACAUAGAUUUUGUUCAUAGCAUGUGUUACUCACCUGAGUUUCCUUGAUUAGCUCUAACACUUGAACGCUCCAACAAUUAAGGUUAAGGCACGUCAUUACUAGCUUUAAUAAUAACUAAUUAACAUAACAUUACUCUUGCUUAACUUAGAUAAGUUCUCUUCAUAGGUCCACCCUCUCGGUCAUGCACCUACAGUCCCUAAGGGGUAAGUUAAGGGAUCUAAUUUGCUUUGAUAACUAAUUAGUUUUAAGUGAACAGGGUCAAAACUGUCUGGAAUUUGUCUUGCGUUCGAAUGCUGGUUUUGGAAUUCGGAUGCGACGGUUAACUGUUGGUCUCACCUGUUCGAUGUCCUAAAAUGUAACUAAAGGUGGGGAGUUUGAAUGCUAAGGCUAAAAGUCUGACAUUUCGAACGCUGUUCUUGGGCGUCGGAGCUCCCUGCUGGACCAGUAGAAACAAUAGCUGGGUCUUGCAAGUUUUUAUCAAAAACUCAAUCAACUAACUUAAAUCUUUCUAAACUCUGAGGUUAUAAUAUACCACUCAAGACACCAUUAUACUUAAAAUGGACCUUAUUUGAAACCUAACUUGUAAUCUAAGCUUGAUCAAAAUAAACCCUAACUAUACAUACAUAUUAAACACAUGGAUUGUGAGCUUUUAUAGCUCUUCCAAAAGCUUCCUUGAGCUCAAAAAGGGCUUCUGGCCUCUUUUAGCUUUUAUCUGAGCUCAAAUGGUCUCCUCCCCUCUCUCUUCUUCUUCUCUUUUUAAAUUAUUUCCUUUCCUACUACUCUCUCUCUCUUGUGUGGGUUGUGCGUAUGUUGUGUGGUGGAGGAAGUGUGAUAUAUGGAUAUAUAUUUUUGCUGAGACACAUGAGAAAUUAUCCCAUGUGACUCCCCCAUCGUAAAUCUGGUGUUCCCUUUUUAUUUUUUCAUUUUUACUGUUGGCGUUUGGACGCUCCUUGUAGUGUUUGUGUAACACCCCGAAUCCGUAAAUUCCAUAAAUCGUAUGGAUUAUGAUGUGUACGUUAAUUAAAGCGAAGUAUUAGGGAUUUAAGAGUAAAAUAGACCAAAUACUAAGUUUUAGAUAAAUUCACAACUUUAAGACGUUAAGUUUUUGGCCCAUUUUCCUCUUGAAUCCGAACGCCCAUAUGGGGUUCGACGCUAAGGCCAAAAAUAACAAAUUAAGUCUCGCAUGUUUUCGAACUGUAGGCAAGAGUGUUCGAACACUCAGUGUCCAAAAAUCCUUCUUAGCUCCGAAUCUUAAAGGGACGUUCGCAAUGGCAGCAUUAAAAAUGAAAACUAGAAAGAACAAUACUAGUUUUCUAAAAUGGUGUAGUCACAUAGGAUAAUUUCCCAUGUGUCUCAGUAUUAUACAUACAAUCAUACACUUUUUCCACCACACGGCGCAGAGAGAGGAUGAGAAGAAGAAGAAAGGAGAGGAAGCUUUUAACGCUGCAUUCAAGCUAGGAGGAAGCCAUUAUUGGGCUUGAAAAAUAUUGGUAACCAAAAACCCAUAUAUUUAUGUAUUUGUAUAGUUAGGGUUUUAACUUGGUUCCAAAAUAGAUCUAGUAUGCUAGGAUCGAUAUGGUAGAAAUUUUACGUAUAAUAGUCUCUAAGGUGUUUUGAGUUUAUAUAAGUCUCAAAAAGAUUGGAGUUGAUUUGGUUUUAGUUUUGGUAGAAAUUGUAAGUUUUAUUUCUAUUCAUGUUGCAAACGGCAGGAGCGUUCGAACGCUUAAGAACCAGUGUCCGAACGGUCCAGUGUCGAUGCCAGCUUAGGCCUUGAACUUGGAGUUCGAACGCCUAGGCCAUUUUAGCAGAUUGGGCCUUUUUCAUUAGAACAUUUAAAUUGUUGCCCAAAUUAUUGUAGAGUUUUUUUGAUCGACCUUAUAGAGACUUAGGCCUGUUUAAGGAGUCCUUUGACCUAAAAUUUGAAUACCUAAAUGUAGUCCAGAGUUUUAUUCGUUAAUUUGAGUAUAGUUUUGACGUUUCCUUACUAACUUGUAGGGACACAGCAGUUUAGCAUCUAGCCAAGAACCCGAGGUGAGUAAUACGAUGCCAUGACAAAAUUAUGUAUUUUCAAAAUGGUUUUCAUCACAUUUAUGUAUAUCAAAGAUUUUUCAUGCUUUCAAGCAUUAACGAUAUGUUUCAAUACAAAUGUCAUGUCUUCAUGUAUAUUAUGUCUAUUAUGUACGAAAUAAACCCAUGAUUUUGCUUUCAUGUGAAACGAUAUGUUCAAAAGUAUAUGCAUGUCCCUCGGAUCCACUCGGUGUCCCCCUGUUGCUGGGACCCUUAAUCUAACCUAAUGGUCCUAGAAGUAAAUGAGGGGACAUGAAAUAAUCAUUUACAGGGAUAUCUCGCCUCAAGAGCCAUUCGACCUAAUAUGGUCCCAUGUAUGUUAUGUUAAUGGCGAGUUGUUACGUUUUUCAUGAUACUGCUAUGUAUGUUUAUGGAAAACAAGUGACACCAUGUUUAUGCAAGAUCAGUUUAUGAACUGAUGUCUCAAGAAAACUAGGUUAUGCUAAUUGUUUCCUACACGUAGAUUAAUGUAUGAAUGAAAAUACUCCAUGGUAUUUUAGCGUUCAUGCAUCUGUUUGUUAUUAACUAAGUUUUAGCUUACGUUUUUGAAAACUUUUUAGGAAGCCAAAGCAAAGAACCGUAAAAAGGAUGUUGAAGCG
rnacentral:lncRNA from 1 species